rnacentral:rRNA from 1 species
GACGAACGCUGGCGGCGUGCUUAACACAUGCAAGUCGAACGGAAAGGCCUCUUUCGGGGGGUACUCGAGUGGCGAACGGGUGAGUAACACGUGAGUAACCUGCCCUUGACUUUGGGAUAACUUCAGGAAACUGGGGCUAAUACCGGAUAGGAGCUCCUGCUGCAUGGUGGGGGUUGGAAAGUUUCGGCGGUUGGGGAUGGACUCGCGGCUUAUCAGCUUGUUGGUGGGGUAGUGGCUUACCAAGGCUUUGACGGGUAGCCGGCCUGAGAGUGUGACCGGCCACAUUGGGACUGAGAGGCGGCCCAGACUCCUACGGGAGGAAGCAGUGGGGAAUAUUGCACAAGGGGUGGAAGCCGGAUGCAGCAACGCCGUGUGCGGGAUGACGGCCUUCGGGUUGUAAACCGCUUUCGCUCAUGACGAAGCUUUGUGUGACGGUAGUGGGUAAAGAAGCACCGGCUAACUACGUG